GUUUGCUUGAAGUUAUAAGCAAUUUGGCCUGCCCCCUGAUUUUAAGUAUUAAAGGGCCGCAGUAUUAAUAACUGUGCAAAGGUAGCAUAAUCAUUAGGUUUUUAAUUGGAAUCUUGUAUGAAUGGUUAGACAAAAGAACAGCUCUCUUUAUAUUAAUAUUGAAUUUAACUUUUAAGUGAAAAGGCUUAAAUAAGCUAAGGGGACGAUAAGACCCUAUAAAACUUUAUAUUGUGAUUAUAUUUUAGUGAAUUUUUAGAAUAAAGAUUUAAUUUAGUUAUUUGUUAUGUUGGGGAGAUAUAAGUAAAAUAUUAUUUUAACUGCUUAGUAAAUUAUGUACAGUUAUUAGUGAUAAUUGUAAAAGAUCCUUUUUAAAGAUUAAUAGAUUAAGUUACUUUAGGGAUAACAGCGUAAUUUCUUUUAAGAGUUCUUAUCGAAAAAGAGGGUUGCGACCUCGAUGUUGAAUUAAAAAUUCUAUAUAAUGAAGAUAUUAUAUAAGAAGGUCUGUUCGACCUUUAAAUUUUUACAUGAUUUGAGUUCAAACCGGUGUGAG
rnacentral:rRNA from 1 species